AGGACCUCUGCCACAGAGAAGUCCAGGAGCUGCACUGGAGCCAGCACCUCCCUCGUGGAUCCUGUUCCUGUGCGUAGGAAGCAGGCAGGAAAUACUUUUUUUUUUUUUAGGAAACAUUUUUUGAUGAAUCAAUAAAUUUGUGAAAGUUUGAGAAGCACCAGGCUAGGGAAAAAAAACACGUCAGCUACCCUAGACUGAUAGGAACAAGAAAAGUAGGGAGGUUAACCUUCCCCAUCCUCUCCAUCACUGGCUACCUACCCAUGACAGUCUAUUUCAGGACAAAGGGCAAUAAAGCCAGACCAGCCUUCUGAACCAGCCUGCCUUUCAGCAUCUGUGCUACAAAGAAUCUUCAGAUACGAAGAUCGGGAUACUUGCGGAGAUGAUUUCAACAAGGUUGUUUAUUCUUCAUUCAACGUGUGCGGGAUUCAGGAGAAUCAUUUGCAUUCUUACAAGAAGGUGCCACCCAGGGGAUUUCAUCACAGGGCCUCAGGGCAUGGACUGCAUAUGAUUUCUGUAUAUAUGAUGAGACUCAGCCUCAAAGUGGAUUCCAAGUAUUGGGCAAUCUCUCUUCAACCGCCUUCCCAAAUGGUACUUUUACUCUACUUUUUACCUGCAUUCAAUGGGCUACCCUUCCCCGUAUUCUCUAGGCGUGGCAUAUUCAUGAAAGGAAGGCAUCUCUUGGAAGUGACAGGAGAUAACAUUCCUGAAGAGUCUACUGACAGGUGCAACCUCAAAGUUCAUCUGAUUCCUGAAAAUAAUUCUUUGCUAGAAGCCAUUGAUGAAAAUGUUUCCACUGGUCAUCUGGAGUCAGAGGUGAUUCUGGGUGGUGGGUCUGAGGUCGGAGGCAUCUAAACUUUUUUUUUUUUUUGCUUUUAGGUAUUUAGACAAUACGUUGUUACUUGAUUCAGGUUGGAGAAGUCAGGCCUCCUGAGAAGAUAAAGCCCAGGACACUUGGC
rnacentral:lncRNA from 1 species